rnacentral:rRNA from 1 species
AUUGAACGCUGGCGGUAGGCCUUACACAUGCAAGUCGAACGGCAGCACAGUCAGAGCUUUCUCGUACAGGUGGCGAGUGGCGGACGGGUGAGGGGUACAUCGGAAUCUACUUUUUCGAGGGGGAUGACGUAGGGAAAAUUACGCUAAUACGGCAUAGGACCUACGGGUGAGAGCAGGGGAUCUUCGGCCCUUGCGCGAUUGAAUGAGCCGAUGGCGGAUUAGCUAGUUGGCGGGGUAAAGGCCCACCAAGGCGACGAUCCGUAGCUGGUCUGAGAGGAUGAUCAGCCACACUGGAACUGAGACACGGUCCAGACUCCUACGGGAGGCAGCAGUGGGGAAUUUUGGACAAUGGGCGCAAGCCUGAUCCAGCCAUACCGCGUGGGUGAAGAAGGCCUUCGGGUUGUAAAGCCCUUUUGUUGGGAAAGAAAAGCAGUAGGUUAAUACCCCGCUGUUCUGACGGUACCCAAAGAAUAAGCACCGGCUAACUUCGUG